rnacentral:rRNA from 2 species
UUGACCUCAAAUCAGGUAGGAUUACCCGCUGAACUUAAGCAUAUCAAUAAGCGGAGGAAAAGAAACUAACAAGGAUUCCCCUAGUAACUGCGAGUGAAGCGGGAAGAGCUCAAAUUUGAAAUCUGAYGGUUGUUGACCGUCCGAGUUGUAAUCUAGAGAAGUGUUACCUGUGCUGGACCGUGUACAAGUCUUCUGGAAUGGAGCAUCAUAGAGGGUGAGAAUCCCGUCUUUGACAUGGACUACCUGUACGUUGUGGUACGCUCUCAAAGAGUCGAGUUGUUUGGGAAUGCAGCUCAAAAUGGGUGGUAAAUGCCAUCUAAAGCUAAAUAUUGGCGAGAGACCGAUAGCGAACAAGUACCGUGAGGGAAAGAUGAAAAGAACUUUGGAAAGAGAGUUAAACAGUACGUGAAAUUGCUGAAAGGGAAACGCUUGAAGUCAGUCACGUCGGCUAGAAAUCAGCCUUGCUUCUGCUUGGUGUACUUUCUGGUUGAUGGGUCAGCAUCAAUUUUGACCAUUGGAUAAAGUCUCUGGGAAUGUGGCAUCUUUUUUUAGAUGUGUUAUAGCCCAUUGUCGCAUACGGUGGUUGGGAUUGAGGAACUCAGCAUGCCCUGCAAGGGGCCAGGUUUCGACCAUGUUCAUGCUUAGGAUGCUGGCAUAAUGGCUUCAAUCGACC